GACGAACGCUGGCGGCGUGCUUAACACAUGCAAGUCGAACGGAAAGGCCUAGCUUGCUGGGUACUCGAGUGGCGAACGGGUGAGUAACACGUGGGUGAUCUGCCCCUGACUUUGGGAUAAGCCUGGGAAACUGGGUCUAAUACCGGAUAUUCAUUUUUCCUCGCAUGGGGAUUUGUGGAAAUCUUUUGCGGUUGGGGAUGGGCCCGCGGCCUAUCAGCUUGUUGGUGGGGUAAUGGCCUACCAAGGCGACGACGGGUAGCCGACCUGAGAGGGUGAUCGGCCACACUGGGACUGAGACACGGCCCAGACUCCUACGGGAGGCAGCAGUGGGGAAUAUUGCACAAUGGGCGCAAGCCUGAUGCAGCGACGCCGCGUGAGGGAUGACGGCCUUCGGGUUGUAAACCUCUUUCAGCUCCGACGAAGCGAAAGUGACGGUAGGAGCAGAAGAAGCACCGGCCAACUACGUG
rnacentral:rRNA from 1 species